CUCAACACACCAGCCAUGCAAAAAAUGAUUUUCUUCUGCUGGUUUGGCAUGAUGAGAAAUGGCUUUGGCGAGGAGGAAGGAACUGCCCCUUCAGCGGCAUUUAUUACAGGAGCCGAAGGGACUAGCUGAUGUUUAGUCCAUUAUCCUCAUAGCAGGACACGGCGGCAUACCAUGGAGACGGUGCUGGAGAAGGAGCUGAGAGUUCUACAUCUUGAUCCACAGACGACAGGAAGUGGACUGGCUACCACACUGAGUCAGCUUGAGCAAAGGAGACCUCAAAGCCCACCCCCACAGUGACACACUUCCUCCAGCAAGGCCACACCUACUCCAGCAAAGCCACACCUCCUGAUGGUGCCACUCCCUUUGGGGGCCGUUUUCUUUCAAAGCACCACAUUAGUCUAGCCACUGACAUCUUCUUCUUGAUUAUAUAAGAUGUAUUCUAUCAUUAUGAAAACAUUAUUUUAGUAAGCAUUUUAUAAAUGAUGAGCCAUUUGAAAUUUAAAAUGUGGAAAUUUAAACAGAAGUUUGCUAUAGACCUUUAUGUAAGCCCUAAAAUAUAAAGUAUCUAGAAAGAAAUAAACACAAGAAAAAUC